rnacentral:rRNA from 1 species
UUGAACGCUGGCGGCAGGCCUAACACAUGCAAGUCGAGCGCGAAAGUUCUUCGGAACGAGUAGAGCGGCGGACGGGUGAGUAACGCGUGGGAAAUUGCCCAGUAGUGGGGGACAACAUUCGGAAACGGAUGCUAAUACCGCAUACGCCCUACGGGGGAAAGCAGGGGAUCUUCGGACCUUGCGCUAUUGGAUAUGCCCGCGUCGGAUUAGCUAGUUGGUGAGGUAAUGGCUCACCAAGGCAACGAUCCGUAGCUGGUCUGAGAGGAUGAUCAGCCACACUGGGACUGAGACACGGCCCAGACUCCUACGGGAGGCAGCAGUGGGGAAUAUUGGACAAUGGGCGCAAGCCUGAUCCAGCCAUGCCGCGUGUGUGAAGAAGGCCCUAGGGUUGU